GUUAUAGGGUCAAGUGACUAAGUGCAUGUGGUGGAUGCCUUGGCGAUUACAGGCGACGAAGGACGUGAUAGCCUGCGAAAAGCUUCGGGGAGCUGGCAAAUGAGCUUUGAUCCGGAGAUAUCCGAAUGGGGAAACCCGCCCGCAAGGGCAUCAAUACCUGAAUACAUAGGGUAUUGAAGCGAACCCGGCGAACUGAAACAUCUCAGUAGCUGGAGGAAAAGACAUCAACCGAGAUUCCGAAAGUAGUGGCGAGCGAAAUUGGAAGAGCCUGCACGUUUUAGCAUUUUGUUUAUCAGAACGGUCUGGAAAGUCCGGCCACAGCGGGUGAUAGCCCCGUAUGGAAAAAGCAGAAUGUGGAACUAGGCGUGCGACAAGUAGGGCGGGACACGUGAAAUCCUGUCUGAAGAUGGGGGGACCAUCCUCCAAGGCUAAAUACUCGUAAUCGACCGAUAGUGAACCAGUACCGUGAGGGAAAGGCGAAAAGAACCCCGGGAGGGGAGUGAAAUAG
rnacentral:rRNA from 1 species